GUAUUUACACGUGGCUUUCAAUGCGUCGCUCGUGAUCUUUCUGUGUAUGUUCACCGAUUACUGAACAAAAUAAAAAAAAUUGUUUUGUAUUAUAUUAUUAUAUAUAAUAGUAUUAGGUGGUCUCAUAGUCAUCAAGCCAGGAUCUGGGGUGCGAUUCACUAAGGCAAAACAUCUUUACAACCAAGAAAUCAUCGUUGUAACAUCAGAUGAAAACUCGGCGGUAUUCAUUAGUUAAAAUUGCGCGAUCGUAGCGCCUCAACGAUGUUGACGGCGCGUCAUAGAACUAACAUUUGGUGCCAAAUGUAUGAAAAUCGGUAUUCAGCAACACGAAACAUCCUCGCCUGCAACGACAACCUCGCCUUCGCCUUCGAUUUUAUCUGUCAAACCGAAAAGCUUGUAAAUUGUGGAUGUUUUCUUGGAUGAAGGCGAUUAAAAUAUGGCAGUUCGUCUUUCCUGUAUGAUUUUUCGUUGGAAGACACUAAACAUCAUGAUAAUUAAAUAAAUAAGAAGUCAGGCCUCCGUGA